UGAAACUCAUGGGUUCCAAGUGGGCGGCU
rnacentral:piRNA from 1 species